rnacentral:rRNA from 1 species
AGUGAACGCUGGCGGUAGGCCUAACACAUGCAAGUCGAACGGCAGCACAGUAAGAGCUUGCUCUUACGGGUUGCGAGUGGCGGACGGGUGAGGAAUACAUCGGAAUCUACUUUUUCGUGGGGGAUAACGUAGGGAAACUUACGCUAAUACCGCAUACGACCUACGGGUGAAAGCAGUGGAUCUUCGGACCUUGCGCGAUUGAAUGAGCCGAUGUCGGAUUAGCUAGUUGGCGGGGUAAAGGCCCACCAAGGCGACGAUCCGUAGCUGGUCUGAGAGGAUGAUCAGCCACACUGGAACGGAGACACGGUCCAGACUCCUACGGGAGGCAGCAGUGGGGAAUAUUGGACAAUGGGCGCAAGCCUGAUCCAGCCAUACCGCGUGGGUGAAGAAGGCCUUCGGGUUGUAAAGCCCUUUUGUUGGGAAAGAAAAGCAGCAGGUUAAUACCCCGCUGUUCUGACGGUACCCAAAGAAUAAGCACCGGCUAACUUCGUG